rnacentral:rRNA from 1 species
ACGAACGCUGGCGGCGUGCUUAACACAUGCAAGUCGAACGGAAAGGCCCUGCUUUUGUGGGGUGCUCGAGUGGCGAACGGGUGAGUAACACGUGAGUAACCUGCCCUUGACUUUGGGAUAACUUCAGGAAACUGGGGCUAAUACCGGAUAGGAGCUCCUGCUGCAUGGUGGGGUUGGAAAGUUUCGGCGGUUGGGGAUGGACUCGCGGCUUAUCAGCUUGUUGGUGGGGUAGUGGCUUACCAAGGCUUUGACGGGUAGCCGGCCUGAGAGGGUGACCGGCCACAUUGGGACUGAGAUACGGCCCAGACUCCUACGGGAGGCAGCAGUGGGGAAUAUUGCACAAUGGGCGGAAGCCUGAUGCAGCAACGCCGCGUACGGGAUGACGGCCUUCGGGUUGUAAACCGCUUUCGCCUGUGACGAAGCGUGAGUGACGGUAAUGGGUAAAGAAGCACCGGCUAACUACGUG